rnacentral:piRNA from 1 species
UGACUGUCCUCCCAACAGUGAGGUUGCCUGU